GUCAGGCUGUAGAAGAGCUCUGUAUUUGCGAAUGAUAAAAAUCAGUUCUUAAACCUGUCAGCAAAAGUUUCGAACAUUAACUAUUAAUUAGGGAAACUCAGGCCACUCCAGGUGAAAUUUGCCAUAUAAUGAACAGUGUUUGGUAAAUAGAUAUACCAAAAAUGAAAACGAAAUGGCCGUACUUUCCAAACAUAAUCGGUUUGUUUGGUUUCCUUGCGUCAUUGUUAUUUACGUAAAAGCGUUUUUAGUUCCUGAAGCGUGGAAAAAAAACAAGCCUCAUAAAUAUGUGAGAUUAAUCAAACAGGAUCUUAAACAAAUGCUGAAAAAGUAAGUCAUUCUUACAGAGUUCCCCAUGGCUUUAUUUUAACAAUCCCUAAAUUAUGUGAAACAAGAUUUUAAUGUACUUUGAUACAGUAUCAGUACGGCUGUUCUUUUUAAUAAUUAUUAAAUUAUAUAUAUUAGCAAAGGCAUUUAAAAUAAUAGUUCCAAAAAUGUCACUAAAAUACCAAUGGAUUUCGUUCAUAUUUAAAACCUGCAACUGUUGUUAUUCUGCGGCACAAUUCAAACACCCGCCUGGGGAGAGGUUUGUCUGGUUUUCAGCAAUUAAUUAUCCUGUAACGUCGCAACAGAUGACCCGUUGGAAAGAGUAGGAAAAAGUAAGCUGGUGUGGGGCAGCGGGGGCUUGGAGAGACCCCCUUCCCGAUUUUCCGUUUCGCUUUUCUCUGCCCUGCUGAGAAAACCCGAUCACGUCACCGCCUCAUGGUUUCUGGAACGCCGGUGACGUCACGGCGCUUUCCGGUAAGGGGCAGGGGAGGCACCGAGCUGUGACUGGGACCGGGGGUCUGGCUGUGGUUCUGGGUCAGGCUGCAGGCUGGAAGGCCUGCUGGCUGAGAGAAGUUUUCCCUGUGUGCCCUGAGACAGCGUGGAGUCCCCUCCAGUUUGCUUUCCCGCCAUGCAGCCUGUGCUUCCAGGAAAGCUGGACACAUAUUGGUCUGCUGGAAUUUCAUCUGUCAGGUUGAUCCUGCAAAAAGGACAACAAGUGAGGUCCUCUGACAGGACCAGUGUAAAACUGCGCAGCCAGGUUACCAUCAGUCACUGAAAGAGGACUGGACACUCCUGGUCACACUACUGCACUUAGACAACACCGCUAUGUCGCUGAUGGACUGUGUCUGGUUGUAUUGUUUUGCCAGUUAAAUCACUGCAGGCUGUCAGUAUCUCAGAAGACCACCUGCUUCCAGGAUCAAUGAUAACAGGGAUCAAGGUGCCUGUAAAUCCAAGUAAAUAACUCCUGAGCUUUUACUGGCAAAGUGAAACAUAACAAAAACAGCCUCUGGCCCCUAUCUCCCACCCAGGCUCUCAUCCCAGUGCAGGCUGAGGGCGUGGACUCCUCAGGUGGGCUCUCCUGUCUCUUCAUGCUUGUGACUUACAACACUGUUUUCACACAGAGCCCAAAGAACUCUGCCAGCCCGGAGAUGGAACAUGGCAGAACUUCAGAUGUUGUUUUGGAAAAGGAACAAGAGUGGAUUAAACUGAAAACUUGAGCCUGAAGGCAUUUAUAAACCCAGUACUUUAUAGCAGAGGCUUCUUGCUUCUAUCCAGUAAUAAGUCCACUGGUUACAAAGGAAUUAAACAUGCUCAUUCAUUUUCCUCUCCACUGACCCACCUACAGUAUGCAACCUCUGAGCUAAAAUGGCUAAAUUCCCUGUAGGCUAGAAGUGUGCCCUUGUUCCGUCUCAUUUCAAAGGGGUGAUAUGUCAGCCUUUUGGUGCUUUUCUAAGAGCAAGGAGAAGAAUCUUUGAAAAUAAAAUUUUUUUAGACAUCAUCUGAGAUACAGUCAAGUUUUCGUACUAAGUGUGGAUGUUUUGAAAAGUUCAAAAUGCUAUAAUAGUGAGUCUUGAUAAAAAUCAUAAUUGUCCAGUUAUCUUUAUCAUCUAAGGUUUUUAUAAAUCUAAGGUUUUUGAUGGAUCACUGGGUUGUUCAGAAACAAUUGGAUUGGUACUUGAAAUGAACUCCCUCACAUGGUUUCAGAAUUACAUAACCAAUCUGACAUUUGCACAGAGUUGAUUCCCGGUUCCUGCUGUUCUCUCCAUCUAUAUUAAGAAAGUUGUUCAGAUCCACCAACACUAUGCCAGUGAUACCAUCUUAUACUAAACUGAACUCACUUUAUUAUCAGUAAUGUGAGAUUUGUGCCUCAGUUUUGACAACAACAGGAUUGCUGUAACUGUACUCUGAUGAAACCCCUCUGUGUAUCCAUUAGUUGAAAUGUCUG